ACUUUUUAUUGUUCAGUCUGGCAAAAGCAAACUUACUCACAUCUGCCAUUUUGUCCUACUCAAGGAUGGAAAAAAUCGACUAGCGACAAACGACUCAGUAUUUGAACGGUCUAAGAGGGCCGUUGUUCUUGAAGCAGCAUGAUUUCAAUACUUCACUACGCGCGCGUAUCACAAAUAUAUGGUGCAUCCCAUGCACUGUUUGUCGUGGGACAAACAGUUUGUCGAAUGUUUUAACAAGUUGCGAUUAACGUGAAUCGGAACGUAUUCACAACAAUAUUUUUUGCUCAAAUCAUGCCCGAAUGACUAACAGAACAUAUACGGUAUAUCAAGAGACAAAUCGCAGAGUGAAAGCGACAAAAAUCCUCCAAAAAAUUAAACUUCGCUUCACGAACUUUUGAUCGUUAGCGUACAUGCCAAGCGAUCUAUUAUUCGUAGAGCGUAGUUUGUUGUGAUGAGUUGACGACAAAAGGUUUAUCGUUGUUGAUAUGUGUUGGAAUAGAGGUAGUGUCGCACCUCAGGUAGAAGAAUCGUCGGUUGAGAAGCAUGCGUCGUCGUAGAUAAAAGUGUGGAAGAUUUAUCGAGAGGUAUGGUAUUUGGAUAAGUGUGAUUUAAUUGUAAAUAUAUACCUGGAAUGAAUAAAGAGAGUUGCAGCUGCUGAUUGAGGUAUCAGUCAGUUAGCUGCCCAGUUAAAGGAGA